CGAGUGGCGGACGGGUGAGUAAAGUAUGGGGAUCUGCCAAAUGGAGGGGACAACAGUUGGAAACGGCUGCUAAUACCGCAUAAAGUUGAGAGACCAAAGGGUGGGACCUGUAAUGGGCCACUUGCCAUUUGAUGAACCCCAUAUGGGAUUAGCUAGUAGGUAGGGUAAAGGCCUACCUAGGCGACGAUCUCUAGCUGGUCUGAGAGGAUGGCCAGCCACACUGGGACUGAGACACGGCCCAG
rnacentral:rRNA from 1 species